GGGUCUGUGUGUCUGUUGGUAUGCUGCUUUUGCCGGGGAUAGAACAGGAAUGGAGUCUUAGAACUUUUAGAAAUUCCUAACAGUUUUGCAAACGUUUCCCAACCAGCUCUACUGGCCCCAGACAGACCCACCCUGGCUGUGUUUACAACCAAAAUAUGGCAACUUUGCAUGAGAGUGGAGGAAGCAGUUGUUGGAGCUGGCAAAGGAAAGCUGUGGAAGGAAGUGCAGUGGAAGUACUAGGAACCUUUAAUCUGAGCUGUUCCUAAGCACCAUGUUAGCACAAUGUUGGUGCUGGAGGACUGAGAAUUCAAGGAAGCACGCAGUAAUUUGUAGGCCAGUAGGCACUCCUUGGGAUGAUCUAGCCCUGCAGGCAUCUCAGGCCCAUUUAAGGAACUCUAUGAAUACUGUUUGGUUUCUUUGAAGGAGAAUUACCAUAUUUCUAGUUAACUGUUCUAUUCUGAUUCUAAGAGAACCAAGUGAUGGUUAUGAUAUUGCAAUCCACCAAAUUCAGAUCGCAUUGCAAAUCUAAUUUUUCUCUAACGUUUGAGGGGAUUCAAAACCAAAGUUUCUCUUCUAUCAGAUGAGGGCUUUGAAAGGUAGAGACAAAUCCAAACUUCACAGCUUGGACCUAGAUCCAAUUUUUUCCAGAGCUCACAGAGGUUCAGAUCUACUGUUUUAGAUCAGGCUCAUUUCUCAAUGCAAGGCAAAGCACUGAUUGGGCUGGAUGCUGCUUUUGUUUACACCAAUAUAAAUCAAGAGUGGCUCCACAGAUGCUCUUGUACCUAGUCCGGUGUAAAAGUGGUAUAACAGAGAGCAGAAUCAGGUGUUCUGUAUCUUUAUCUCAAUGCUAUUUAAAUCAAGCCAAAUUCAUCCCACCUCCAUUGGCUUCAGGGAUUAAUCUGACCCCAUAUUCUUAUACUACAUAACAUGAUUUGUUCAGUAACAGUUUUUAAUUUAGGCAAUAUCCGAAACACUUGUACAUGUUUAAGAGCCAGAUCAUCAGCUUGUGUAAAGCAACAUAGCUCCAUUGACUUCAAUGAGGAUCUGUCCCUACACAUUUCAUUGCCUGUUAGAGAUAUUAAUUCUUUUACCUGUAAGACAGGGAAUUUGGAGAGUAUAUCAGGCUUACACUCUUCUGCCAUUAGAAUGGUUUCAAGCAGCUGUACAUCUGCCCUGGUGAAUCGGUUGCCAACAAGAAAAUCCUGUCCAUGGUCUUUCAAAGCCUACAGGACAGGAGACAAUGAAUUUAUGCAUAUAAAUGAGACAUUCUGUGCUCUGGAUAAAUACAUAAAGUUAAGCCUAAUCUGACAUUUCAAAAUCACAUCUAGGUCUGUGUAAGAGUUACCCUUGAAAGGAAGCAAUACAAAAUACAGCAUUGUUUGAACAAUUAGAAAACUCAAUUUCACCAUUGUGGUAGGCCUUAUUCAAACUAAUACAGCUGUGGGUGUGACAGGAAGGUAUGGUCUCUGAUAGUAGGAGUUUUUUUAAAUCUGUAGCUCUUAUGAUCACAGCUGAAAUGGGCUGGGCAUGGGGAUUUACUAGUCUCUUUCUAUGGUCCUCCUCAAUGCAAGAGUGACCAGGCUCAGAAACCAUUUGAAAUAAGUGACCUUAAGCAAUUCCAGCUAAUAGUUUUACUGACAGUGCAGACAAAGCAUAAUCCUUAAAAAAAAAAAAAAAAACCCACAAACAUUUUAUAGACCAGGUGGGAAGACACAUUCUUUUAACAGUUAAUAAUAAUAAUACUGUAUAGUGUGCCAUAGGUGUGCACAGGUGCCAACUGAAUAUUGAUCUUAAAAUGUUUGCACAAGGCAGUUUCCAAACACUAUCAAUGGUGCGGUGCAGACAAGGCACAUCUGAUGGAGCCUCCUGAGACUCCGUGCAACACGAUAGUUAUUCCAAAUAGCUGUAGGGGGUUCACAAGAAACUUAGAGAAUCCCAAGCCACUACGACUUUCUCAGGUCAGUGAACAGUAGAAUAUAUUGGACACCUUCACCUAUUCCUGCACAUUUCGCACCCUUCUCUCCUUCCUCCCCAGUAAGGGGUGAAUUUGGUGUUGGGCUUCAAGAACAGACCUGGCAUUGGAUAACUAUGUAAAGCUUCCAACUAGCACUUGGCUCCCCACACUGGGUGUGCUACAAGCAGAACUGUAAUGUACUUUAUAUAGCACGUACAUUGUACAGACAGCACCAUGUGCCAAGAAUACCUCAGGAAGACACCUAGCACAGAAGAGAUGCUGAUGCUACCUUGGCAUCUAACAAAGUCUCUCUUAAAGGGGUUUACUAAAAGAUGUCACUGGAAAUUUGGAGUACAAAAAUUAUCCUGGCUCUUGUGCAGCUUUGCCAUUAUGAGGCUAAGAAAAUUCCAUCAAGCAAGCUCAUAAAUUUAUACUUGCCUUAAAUAGUUCUUCCAUGGGCACUCUAAAUAUAUCUGUUCUCAUACAAUACAGGCUGAAUGUGCAUUUACUAGCAUAGAUCCAGGAAAUAUUAUCAAGUGACCAAUACUUCAAUGGGUGUAAAUUGUUGCCUUGCUGUCACAUACCUUUUCGUAUACAGGGAAGUACCUGGUUGUGGCCUUCUCAAUGAUUGAGGCAAGAUGCUUUGCCUUUGCCUCCGGUGGCUGGAGAGGAUGAUGCAUAAUAAUUUCAUUCAGAUCCAUUGUUGCUUCCACAUACAUAUCAAUCCUGAAAGGCAAAGUGUGUUCACAUUGGUUUGAAUAACUAGUAUUCAUAUAGAUUCCAGCAGUGAAAUAACUCCAGGGUCAGGAGGCUUACCACUGACCAAUUUGUAUUUGCUGUUUAAAA